UCUCCUGCAGCUCAGUGGUAGAGCGUCCGACCGGUGUACGGAAGGUCAUAGGUUCGACUCCUGUUGGGGGAA
rnacentral:tRNA from 1 species